AAGGGAAGCUUCGCUGCCGUGAUUUACGCGUCCCAUGGGUGAGUAAUGCCUAGGAAUCUGCCUGGUAUUGGUGUAUAACGUUCCGAAAGGAACGCUAAUACCGCAUACGUCCUACGGGAGAAAGCAGGGAACCUUCGGGCCUUGCGCUAACAGAUGAGCCUAUGUCGGAUUAGCUAGUUGGUGAGGUAAUGGCUCACCUUGGCGACGAUCCUUAACUGGUCUGAGAGGAUGAUCCGUCACACUGGAACUGAAACACGGUCCAGACUCCUAUUCUAGGCAUUUGUGGCCAAUAUUGUACUAUGGGCGACAGCCUGAUCCAGCCGUGCCGCGUGUGUGAAGAUGGUCUUCGUAUUGUAAAGUACUUUAAUUUCUCAGGAAGGGCGUUUGACUAAUAUCCGGCGUUUUGACGUCUCAGACCCAAAAAGCACCGGCUAACUUCGGUGCAAGCACCCGCCGUAAAAGGACGGGUGCAGCGUUCUCGUAAUUUCCAGGUUAGAAAACCGGGCUCAAGGGGGUUCCGUGAGCUCGAUUCGAAAAUUUCGGGUUUAACCUGGGAACUGGAUCCCAAAUGGGGAAAUUUAAUGCCGUAAAGGCACGGAAAUUUCUCGGGA
rnacentral:rRNA from 1 species